GACGAACGCUGGCGGCGUGCUUAACACAUGCCAGUCGAACGGAAAGUCCCUGCUUUUGUGGGGUGCUCGUGUGGCGAUCGGGUGAGUAACACGUGAGUAACCUGCCCUUGUCUUUGGGAUAUCUUCUGGAAACUGGUUCUAUUACCGGAUUGGAGCUCCUGCUGCUUGGUGGUGGUUGGUUCGUUUCGUCGGUUGGGGAUGGACUCGCGGCUUAUCAGCUUGUUUGUGGGGUAGUUGCUUACCAAGGGUUUGACGGGUAGCCGACAUGAGAGGGUGACCGGAGAAAUGGGGACUGAGAUAGGGCACAGACGGCAACGGGAGGCAGCAGGGGGGAAGAGGGCACAAGGGGAGGAAGCAGGAUGAAGCAACGCCGCGUGCGGGAAGACGGCAUGCGGGUAGAAAACCGAGUUAGAAUGAGACGAAGCGAGAGUGACGGUAAUGGGUAAAGAAGCACCGGCUAACUACGUG
rnacentral:rRNA from 1 species